rnacentral:rRNA from 3 species
GCAAGUCGAACGAACUCUGGUAUUGAUUGGUGCUUGCAUCAUGAUUUACAUUUGAGUGAGUGGCGAACUGGUGAGUAACACGUGGGAAACCUGCCCAGAAGCGGGGGAUAACACCUGGAAACAGAUGCUAAUACCGCAUAACAACUUGGACCGCAUGGUCCGAGUUUGAAAGAUGGCUUCGGCUAUCACUUUUGGAUGGUCCCGCGGCGUAUUAGCUAGAUGGUGGGGUAACGGCUCACCAUGGCAAUGAUACGUAGCCGACCUGAGAGGGUAAUCGGCCACAUUGGGACUGAGACACGGCCCAAACUCCUACGGGAGGCAGCAGUAGGGAAUCUUCCACAAUGGACGAAAGUCUGAUGGAGCAACGCCGCGUGAGUGAAGAAGGGUUUCGGCUCGUAAAACUCUGUUGUUAAAGAAGAACAUAUCUGAGAGUAACUGUUCAGGUAUUGACGGUAUUUAACCAGAAAGCCACGGCUAACUACGUGCCAGCAGCCGCGGUAAUACGUAGGUGGCAAGCGUUGUCCGGAUUUAUUGGGCGUAAAGCGAGCGCAGGCGGUUUUUUAAGUCUGAUGUGAAAGCCUUCGGCUCAACCGAAGAAGUGCAUCGGAAACUGGGAAACUUGAGUGCAGAAGAGGACAGUGGAACUCCAUGUGUAGCGGUGAAAUGCGUAGAUAUAUGGAAGAACACCAGUGGCGAAGGCGGCUGUCUGGUCUGUAACUGACGCUGAGGCUCGAAAGUAUGGGUAGCAAACAGGAUUAGAUACCCUGGUAGUCCAUACCGUAAACGAUGAAUGCUAAGUGUUGGAGGGUUUCCGCCCUUCAGUGCUGCAGCUAACGCAUUAAGCAUUCCGCCUGGGGAGUACGGCCGCAAGGCUGAAACUCAAAGGAAUUGACGGGGGCCCGCACAAGCGGUGGAGCAUGUGGUUUAAUUCGAAGCUACGCGAAGAACCUUACCAGGUCUUGACAUACUAUGCAAAUCUAAGAGAUUAGACGUUCCCUUCGGGGACAUGGAUACAGGUGGUGCAUGGUUGUCGUCAGCUCGUGUCGUGAGAUGUUGGGUUAAGUCCCGCAACGAGCGCAACCCUUAUUAUCAGUUGCCAGCAUUAAGUUGGGCACUCUGGUGAGACUGCCGGUGACAAACCGGAGGAAGGUGGGGAUGACGUCAAAUCAUCAUGCCCCUUAUGACCUGGGCUACACACGUGCUACAAUGGAUGGUACAACGAGUUGCGAACUCGCGAGAGUAAGCUAAUCUCUUAAAGCCAUUCUCAGUUCGGAUUGUAGGCUGCAACUCGCCUACAUGAAGUCGGAAUCGCUAGUAAUCGCGGAUCAGCAUGCCGCGGUGAAUACGUUCCCGGGCCUUGUACACACCGCCCGUCACACCAUGAGAGUUUGUAACACCCAAAGUCGGUGGGGUAACCUUUUAGGAACCA